rnacentral:rRNA from 1 species
UACAGAGGUCUCAAGCGUUGUUCGGAUUCAUUGGGCGUAAAGGGCGCGUAGGCUGCGGGGCAAGUCGGGUGUGAAAUCUCAGAGCUCAACUCUGAAACUGCACUCGAUACUGCUUUGCUUGAGGACUGGAGAGGAGACUGGAAUUCAUGGUGUAGCAGUGAAAUGCGUAGAGAUCAUGAGGAAGACCAGUGGCGAAGGCGGGUCUCUGGACAGUUCCUGACACUGAGGCACGAAGGCCAGGGGAGCAAACGGG